GUGCAGGAGAGAAAGACCACAAGCAUUUCCUCCUUUUUCCAGUUGUGAACGGUAAGAUUCCGUCAGAAGUUGUCUUUUUCUGUCUGGAGUGAAGUGCCAACCUCACAUAAUACAAAGAGAUCACGGGAGUUGAUUCCUGCUGGACUCUGAGGAUUCUGAGUGGCCCAAGGAGCCAGGUCCCACACCAGUCACUGCUCCGGUGGCUGAAGCGGACAGGGCUGGCUCUGCUUCAAUCCCCAACAGGACUCCUGACGCUUCCCUACCUCCCCGGCUGUCCUGGUCUUCACCGCAGCUCAUCUUGCAGGCCGAGCACUUGCAGAUAUUGCUACUCAGUGCUUUCAAAAGGUGCAGACUGUGAAGUCUAGUUAGGCAGGAGCCGGCGGCAGGCCCACCCCUCUGACUCGGCCCUGACCUUUACGCCACGAAGGUCACUGCGUCCUUCCAGAGUGAAGAGAACCUGACGGAGGCAAGGCCCGGGCCACAGGCUUCCAGGCAUGCUUUCCUCUCUGUAUUUUCACAAACUAGAGACACUUUCCCUCUGCUCCUCAUUUCCUUCAAAAAUACUGACGUAUUUCCUGGUUUAAUUUGACAAACAUUUCUGCUGGAAUUGCUUGUUUUAGGUUCAGGAAUACAAGGCCAUUGAAAGGGGAUGCACUUCCUGACCCCCGUCUCAUUCCUUCCAGGCACCUCUCAGCGCAUGUUGUCCAGGCAAACUUCAACACCAGCGAUUUCAGGGAUCAGCAAUACAAGGAUAGAUUUCUCACUUUGCGUUUCUCUUCUUCAUCUUAAAAAUUCAGGUUAAAUCAUCUGACUAUAAUUAAAUGAACAUCAUCCAUAAUAAGAAACCAAAGGAGAAUGAAACAAAGUCAUUCAAAGGAGGUGGGCUUUGAUGAUUUGAACUUCCCAUGUGGAUUUCAAUGCUUUCACCCUUAGUUCUCUUAAGCUCAAAAGUGACGAACUAGGGAAAAAAAAUUAUAUUGUAUAAAUAAUUGGAAACUAG
rnacentral:lncRNA from 1 species